GUAUGUGAGGGCGAUCUGGCUGCGACAUCUGUCACCCCAUUGAUCGCCAGGGUUGAUUCGGCUGAUCUGGCUGGCUAGGCGGGUGUCCCCUUCCUCCCUCACCGCUCCAUGUGCGUCCCUCCCGAAGCUGCGCGCUCGGUGGAAGAGGACGACGUCCCAGGUAUAGAAGGAGUGUACCGAGGUCUCCAGUCUUCGGUCCCGGGUAUACGAUAGCUGCGCUCCCCUGCUAGAACCUCCAAACAAGCUCAAGGUCCAUUGAGCCAUAGUGUCAAAUUCUCCAGGAUAAAUACAUCCUUUGAAUUUACUGCUGGUUAUGUGGUCCUGGUAAUUUUA
rnacentral:snRNA from 1 species